rnacentral:rRNA from 1 species
AACGAACGCUGGCGGCAUGCCUAACACAUGCAAGUCGAACGAGACCUUCGGGUCUAGUGGCGCACGGGUGCGUAACGCGUGGGAAUCUGCCCUCAGGUACGGAAUAACUCAGGGAAACUUGAGCUAAUACCGUAUGAUGCCGCAAGGCCAAAGAUUCAUCGCCUGAGGAUGAGCCCGCGUAGGAUUAGCUAGUUGGUGGGGUAAAAGCCUACCAAGGCGACGAUCCUUAGCUGGUCUGAGAGGAUGAUCAGCCACACUGGGACUGAGACACGGCCCAGACUCCUACGGGAGGCAGCAGUGGGGAAUAUUGGACAAUGGGCGAAAGCCUGAUCCAGCAAUGCCGCGUGAGUGAUGAAGGCCUUCGGGUUGUAAAGCUCUUUUACCCGGGAAGAUAAUGACUGUACCGGGAGAAUAAGCCCCGGCUAACUUCGUG